UACGAAGGGGGCUAGCGUUGCUCGGAAUCACUGGGCGUAAAGGGCGCGUAGGCGGACUUUUAAGUCGGAGGUGAAAGCCCAGGGCUCAACCCUGGAAUUGCCUUCGAUACUGGGAGUCUUGAGUUCGGAAGAGGUUGGUGGAACUGCGAGUGUAGAGGUGAAAUUCGUAGAUAUUCGCAAGAACACCGGUGGCGAAGGCGGCCAACUGGUCCGAAACUGACGCUGAGGCGCG
rnacentral:rRNA from 1 species